rnacentral:rRNA from 1 species
UCUGGUAAUGAUGGCAGAGAAGUCACCCCCGUUCCCAUACCGAACACGGAAGUUAAGCUCUCUAGCGCCGAUGGUAGUUGGGACCUUGUCCCUGUGAGAGUAGGACGUCGCCAAGC